UACGGGGGGGGCAAGCGUUGUUCGGAAUUACUGGGCGUAAAGGGCGCGUAGGCGGCCUUCUAAGUCAGACGUGAAAUCCCUCGGCUCAACCGAGGAACUGCGUCUGAUACUGGAAGGCUUGAAUCCGGGAGAGGGAUGUGGAAUUCCAGGUGUAGCGGUGAAAUGCGUAGAUAUCUGGAGGAACACCGGUGGCGAAGGCGGCAUCCUGGACCGGUAUUGACGCUGAGGCACGAAAGCGUGGGUAGCAAACAGG
rnacentral:rRNA from 1 species